UUUCAACUUUUCGCUUUACAGCUUCGGUGGCUGGAGCUUCUGCAAUGAAGAACAAAAACAAAUGAUUAAAAACAUUGCGCUUCUAACUACAUGUGAAACAGUCUGGCUACAAGUACAAUGGUCUGACCUUGGAACAGAAACUUUUUGCAAUUCAAAGAGCAACAGAAACAUUUGGAGUUUAGACAGUAAAAUUAAAAGAAUAAAAGGCUGGGAACACAGUUUUUGGCGCCAAGGGCAAUUUUGAAAUUUGCGCCACAAAUAUUCAUUCUGUGCGCAAAAAAAAAACUUUUUUGUAAACUCCGACGUUAAUUCAUUCGGGAGCUACGAGAACUUGCAUCACAUGGAAAAGAGCAAUAAACAGAGUUUCAUCAGGGGAGUGUUAUAACAAAAAAAGAUGGCAGUCAAAGAACACGUAAAACAUCGUACGAUUUCAGUGACGCUGAUGAGUCAAAAAAUGCGCCAAAUCUAACGGUACAUGGAAGCAUUCAUCAAAAAUAUUCCGUAGAUCGAUGAAGGACAGCGGAAAAUUACAACGACAAAAAUAAAUAAAUUCGUCCAUUGAAAAUCAUCCUCUCUCCCACUUAUCCGAAUGGUUAUACACCGACAGAGAAGAAAACAUGUGGUUACAUUUCGUUGCCUCUGCUAAAUACGUAUGCGCAGCGUUCCGACAACAACAACGAAAGGAGAAUAAUAAUAAAAAAAACGAAACCAAUAAAAAUAUGGAGAACGCAACAAACAACAGACCAACGGCAGCAUAUAUUAUUCAUUUGUUUUAUGUAAAAAAAAUCCAAAAAUAAAACAAAUUUUUCUUUUGAACGUUACACCACAUGUUGUGCGGCAAAUGAAGUCAAGAUGAAGAGCAACCGGAGUAACGAAAUUUUUUUCUUCUUCGUUUUCUUUAUUAUUUUUAGUUAUUUACCUAUGCAGUGGAAAAGUGAUCAAAAUAGAGGUACGGUGGUAUA